AGACACGCAUAAGCCUACAGAUUUUAUACAGACAUUUAGUGUAAUACAGAUAUUAUACAGAUAUCUGAUAUUAUAAAUACAUAAUCGUUUUUCCAGUAUACACAAAAAAAAACGAACAGAAAAAACGAGAGUCACUGUAGCCGUUGCUGGAAAAAGUGAACUACGAGAGUGAAAUCUUGACAAAAUGUUCAACCUUAUCUAUACCCAAGGAGAUGGCAGCCCUAUCUAAACUCUACACGUUUGACAGUAGCCACCAUAUCGGGGCUUUAUUUAAAAAUAAAGCCCCGAGGUAGGCGCCCAGCAAAACUUCCAUAUACUUUUCACUUUAGUCGGGAAGACUCUUCACUCAUUCAACAUAGAAAGAGAUAGCAUGUUGCCAUUCCCCUGUCUAUACCAUUAGAGUGUGAGUGAAAUAGCAUGCGAAUGAAUCAAAAUAUGGCGAACAUGGAACAAACAGCAUUAGAGUGAAGAGUUUUUCCAAUUUAUGAACGCGCGUUGAUGCAAAUGCAUUUGCACACAAUGUCAUUAAAAAUUAAAAAACUCGAUACUAAACAAUCGAUUUCUGAAUAUUUUAGAAGAAGGCCUUCAAACGAUUGUAACAAAGACAACCGACAGCUUUCUGCCGAUGGAAUAGAUGAAAAUAACCAUUCUUCUAAUAAGCUUCCGGAGAACGAAAAACGAGGAUAUGCCAACUCUUCAUCAGAUAACGAAUCCAACAUGGAAUAUGAUACUGACACUGAAGUCAGCAAAAAGAAAAGAAAAGAGUCUUCACUGCGAGCUAGAAAGCAAUACCAAAGAGCUGUCCAGAGGUACACCUCGUGUUGGGAGACAAAGCUAAAGUGGCUUUCGAAGAGCGUCAAAGGAGACCAGUUUGCUUAUUGUACCAUCUGUGGAAAAAAUAUUAGCUGUAGCGGAGGGUUUCCCGAUUUAAAAAAAACAUAGUGAAAGGAAAAGCCACGUAAACCUGAAAAAAACGUUAAACAUUCCUUCAUCAAUGAACAAAUUUGUUAACACGUCUAGUACUAGAGAUGCAGAAAUACAAAUCUGUUCUUGGGCAGCUGAAACCAACACAGCUCCAAAAACGAUUGAAGAAUUUGUCAAACUCUCAAAGAAGAUUUUCAGUGAUUCUAAAACAGCGACCCAACUAACUCUUGGACGAACAAAAGUUUCGGCUAUUAUAAGAAAUGUAUUAGGUGAAACAGCUCACGAUGAAAUUAAAAAUCUGAUCAGAAACAGCUAUUUCAGCCUUAUAAUCGAUGAAUCAACAGAUAUAGCGACUCGCAAGACAUUAGUUAUUAUAGCAAGAACAUAUGUAUGGAAUUGUGAUGCCCCGCUAGUACGAGGUUAUUUUUAUCAUUCAUGCAAACUCGCAGAAGCGCUGCCACUAUAUUCAACGUAAUCGUACAAAAACUAGAGCAGGAUGAAAUACCUUUCAAAAAAAAUUUGGUUGGGUUUGGAGCAGACGGAGCCAAUGUGAUGCUAGGUGGCAACAAUUCAGUUGCAAGUCGCCUUAAAACUGAAUGUCCGAAUAUUUUCAUUCUAAAAUGCAUCUGCCAUUCAAUUGCAUUAUGCGCUUCAUAUUCCUGCAAGAAUAUACCAAUCGAGAUAGAGUCAUUAUGCAGAGCAAUUUACACAUUUCUCAGUACCAGUCCACUUAGAACCGCUAAAUUUGAAGAGCUCCAAACGAUCAUGGACCUGAAACCUGUGAAAAUGCUUCAUCCAGCGGCCACACGAUGGUUGUCUCUAGAAGAAGUAGUAAAGCGAAUACUUGAGCGAUAUGAGGCACUAAAAAUAUAUUUCAGCUUUCAGGACGCUGAUGUGGAAACCAAGAUAGUGGUAAAAACGAAGCAAAUCUCUGAAAUACUUUCCGAUCCAAUUACUGAACUGUAUUUGAGUUUUCUGAAUUUCAUACUUCCUAAAAUCAAUCAGCUUAACAGACUAUUCCAAUCGAAACACCACAAAUCUACAAAUUACAAUUAGAAACAAGUAGACUUGUCAAAACUUUACUUGAUAAUUUUGUAAAGGCAGAUUAUUUGAAAACUCUGCUUUCUUUAGAUUCUAUUGAAUUUGACACAAGCAUUGUAAAAUAGGAUGUAUACGUUAUGAAAAGACGAGCCCAGCCGACCAUGCCAACACGCCGCAUCGAUCGACCACAGCAACCGAUGCGCCAGGGAAUUGA